GACGAACGCUGGCGGCGUGCCUAAUACAUGCAAGUAGAACGCUGAAGGGAGAGCUUGCUCUUCUGGAUGAGUUGCGAACGGGUGAGUAACGCGUAGGUAACCUGCCUGGUAGCGGGGGAUAACUAUUGGAAACGAUAGCUAAUACCGCAUAACAGCAAAUGUUGCAUGACAUUUGCUUAAAAGGUGCAAUUGCAUCACUACCAGAUGGACCUGCGUUGUAUUAGCUAGUUGGUGGGGUAACGGCUCACCAAGGCGACGAUACAUAGCCGACCUGAGAGGGGGAUCGGCCACACUGGGACUGAGACACGGCCCAGACUCCUACGGGAGGCAGCAGUAGGGAAUCUUCGGCAAUGGACGGAAGUCUGACCGAGCAACGCCGCGUGAGUGAAGAAGGUUUUCGGAUCGUAAAGCUCUGUUGUAAGAGAAGAACGAGUGUGAGAGUGGAAAGCUCACACUGUGACGGUAUCUUACCAGAAGGGGACGGCUAACUACGUGCCAGCAGCCGCCGUAA
rnacentral:rRNA from 1 species